rnacentral:rRNA from 1 species
GACGAACGCUGGCGGCGUGCUUAACACAUGCAGGUCGAACGAGAUCCAAUGUGUAGCAAUACACAGGAAGAUCUAGUGGCGAACGGGUGAGGAACACGUGAGAAACGUACCCCAGACUUUGGGAUAACAGUCCGAAAGGACUGCUAAUACCAAAUAACGUCGGAAGUCCGCAUGGACAUCUGACGAAAGGGAUUCCGGUUUGGGAGCGUCUCGCGGACCUAUCAGCUAGUUGGAGGGGUAACGGCCCACCAAGGCAACGACGGGUAGCUGGUCUGAGAGGAUGGUCAGCCACACUGGGACUGAGACACGGCCCAGACUCCUACGGGAGGCAGCAGUGGGGAAUCUUGCGCAAUGGGCGAAAGCCUGACGCAGCAACGCCGCGUGCGGGAAGAAGGCUUUCGGGCUGUAAACCGCUUUCAGUAGGAACGAAACUGACGGUACCUACAGAAGAAGGAGCGGCCAACUAUGUG